CAGCUAAGGAUUCUGAGACCUCACAAAGACAGCAACACUUCCCGUACACAAAGGCAAGGACUAAAGAAAACCUCUGGACUUAGCUAAUGAAAAGUUUUAAAGCUGCUCGGUUGUCUCUGAGAGGACAGACAGCUACUGAACACCUGCACACACAAAGAAAACACUCAGCUGACAAGCUCCUGCCACAGCCGGUCCCUCUCACCUCCCCAGUCAAGAGAGUGGGGCAGCACCAGCCCUUCAACACACCAACACCCAUGGUGGAAGGAGACAGGUGACUCCCACAAGUUGUCCUAUGGCCUCCACAGUCUCACCAUGACAUACUCAUCAGCACUAGUUCCCAUCAUAAUGGAUGCCAUACAGUAUGUGCCAACUACUUCCUAAUAUGACUGACUAUAAAGAGAUCACUCUACUGCUCCAUACAUAAAUGUAAGGGAAUCUCAGUCUAUAAUAAAAUAUUACUGUUCUUAACAUAGUAA